rnacentral:rRNA from 1 species
AGAGUUUGAUUCUGGCUCAGGAUGAACGCUAGCUACAGGCUUAACACAUGCAAGUCGAGGGGCAGCAUGAUUGAAGCUUGCUUCAAUCGAUGGCGACCGGCGCACGGGUGAGUAACACGUAUCCAACCUGCCGAUAACUCGGGGAUAGCCUUUCGAAAGAAAGAUUAAUACCCGAUAGCAUAGUAUUUCCGCAUGGUUUCACUAUUAAAGAACUUCGGUUAUCGAUGGGGAUGCGUUCCAUUAGAUAGUUGGCGGGGUAACGGCCCACCAAGUCAACGAUGGAUAGGGGUUCUGAGAGGAAGGUCCCCCACAUUGGAACUGAGACACGGUCCAA